AUCAGCCAAAUCAAAUUCAACUUCAAACUCCCAUUAUUCAUUCAACGCCUUCACCAUUUCACUUUCCGUAAGAUUUGAUUUUUUUUUCUUCACAAGCAGCAAAUUUUUGAUUUCUUUCACAUUCAAAUCUUUGACGAAAUCAAUCUAUUUAAACCUCAAUUCCUCAUCCCUAACUCACCUCUUCAUCUGUUCAUUUAACUAAAGUCUGCAGAUUCUUCCUACGAAUCCCAGCUGGUGCGGCGCGAUUAGGACGUGAACUUUAAAUUCUUGCAGUUAAAUUUCAAAGUUCAAGUUACAGUUUCAGGUGAUUGAUAAUGGAGGCGCGUGGAGAGUCGAAUGAGCGCGUCGAAUCUAUUUAAAGAUAAAUGUUUCUUAAAACAUAUUAUGUUAUUUCAUGUGAUAUCUUUUGGUUAUGUAAACUCUGAAAUUCUAUACUAUUUGAGAUUUGUGUGUGAUUUAUUUAAAUAAAUGUUGUUAUAUUAUUUUAAA